UACGGAGGAUCCGAGCGUUAUCCGGAUUUAUUGGGUUUAAAGGGUGCGCAGGCGGAAGAUUAAGUCGGUGGUGAAAUUUUGCAGCUCAACUGUAAAAGUGCCUUCGAAACUGGUUUCCUUGAGUGUAGAUGAAGUAGGCGGAAUUUGUGGUGUAGCGGUGAAAUGCAUAGAUAUCACGAGGAACUCCGAUUGCGAAGGCAGCUUACUAAGCUACUACUGACGCUCAGGCACGAAGGCGUGGGGAUCAAACAGGAUUAGAUACCCUGGUAGU
rnacentral:rRNA from 1 species